AACGAACGCUGGCGGCAGGCUUAACACAUGCAAGUCGAGCGCCCCGCACGGGGAGCGGCAGACGGGUGAGUAACGCGCGGGAAUCUACCCAUCUCUACGGAAUAACGCAUGGAAACGUGUGCUAAUACCGUAUACGUCCUUCGGGAGAAAGAUUUAUCGGGGAUGGAUGUGCCCGCGUUGGAUUAGCUAGUUGGUGGGGUAAAGGCCUACCAAGGCGACGAUCCAUAGCUGGCCUGUGAGGAUGAUCAGCGACACUGGGACUGAGACACGGCCCAGACUCCUACGGGGGGCAGCAGUGGGGAAUAUUGGACAAUGGGCGCAAGCCUGAUCCAGCCAUGCCGCGUGAGUGAUGAAGGCCCUAGGGUUGUAAAGCUCUUUCACCGGUGAAGAUAAUGACGGUAACCGGAGAAGAAGCCCCGGCUAACUUCGUGCCAGCCGCCGCCGUAAGAC
rnacentral:rRNA from 1 species